AUUGAACGCUGGCGGCAGGCCUAACACAUGCAAGUCGAACGAGUGGCGGACGGGUGAGUAAUGUCUGGGAAACUGCCUGAUGGCGGGGGAUAACUACUGGAAACGGUAGCUAAUACCGCAUACCAUCAGAUGUGCCCAGAUGGGAUUAGCUUGGUGGUGGGGUAACGGCUAACCAAGGAGACGAUCCCUAGCUGGUCUGAGAGGAUGACCAGCCACACUGGAACUGAGACCAGGUCCAGACUCCGACGUGAGGCAGCAGUGGGGAAUAUUGCACAAGGGGGGCAAGCCUGAUGCAGACAUGCCGCGUGUAUGAAGAAGGCCGUCGGGUUGUAAAGUACUUUCAGCGGGGAGGCGUUACCCGCAGAAGAAGCACCGGCUAACUCCGUGCCAGCAGCCGCGGUAAUAC
rnacentral:rRNA from 1 species